UAUACCAGUAAUUAUCUGGUUCAACAGAUCCAAACUUCCUCAUAAUCAGAGUAUCUUGUACCUCUGCAAGCUUCAUAGGCGUGAUCCUGAAAUCCUCUACAAGGUGAAGACUCAACUUAUCUUGUUUAUGCCAUUUACCCCAAUCAUCCCAAAAUUGAGCUUGAUCCAACACUGAUGCUGCAUCCUUCAAAUGCUCAAAAUCAAAAUAAAACCUGAAAUCCUUCCCUUCCUCAUCCUGAUUUGAAGAAGUAUACAUUGAAUUCAAACAGAUAGUCAAAUCCAUAACCAAUGUUCGAUUUAGAUACUGCGCUUCACCUAAUGCACACAAGAAACUCCACAAAUAAUGAUUCAUACUCUUGCAUCUAUCACCACCACCACUGUAAACCAAAUACUUGCCAUGGCUAAAUGAGUUUUCAGACUCAACCAUAGGAAGCGAAUCAUUCACAGUUUCC
rnacentral:lncRNA from 1 species